UACGGGGGGGGGCAAGCGUUGUUCGGAAUUACUGGGCGUAAAGGGCUCGUAGGCGGCCAACUAAGUCAGACGUGAAAUCCCCUCGGCUUAACCGGGGAACUGCGUCUGAUACUGGAUGGCUGGAGGUUGGGAGAGGGAUGCGGAAUUCCAGGUGUAGCGGUGAAAUGCGUAGAUAUCUGGAGGAACACCGGUGGCGAAGGCGGCAUCCUGGACCAAUUCUGACGCUGAGGAGCGAAAGCCAGGGGAGCAAACGGG
rnacentral:rRNA from 1 species